rnacentral:rRNA from 1 species
AGAGUUUGAUCAUGGCUCAGAACGAACGCUUGGCGGCGCGUCUUAAACAUGCAAGUCGAACGAUCUGUAGCAAUACAGGGAGUGGCGGAACCGGGGUGAGGAACACGUAGGAAUCUACCUUGAAGAGCGGGACAACUUUGGGAAACCGGGGCUAAUACCGCAUAGUACAGAGAUGUUAAAGGGCUAGCAAUAGUCGCUUCGAGAUGAGCCUGCGGUCUAUCAGCUUGUUGGUGAGGUAAUGGCUCACCAAGGCUACGACGGAUAGCCGGUCUGAGAGGAUGAUCGGCCACACUGGCACUGAGACACGGGCCAGACUCCUACGGGAGGCAGCAGUUAAGAAUCUUGCGCAAUGGGGGAAACCCUGACGCAGCGACGCCGCGUGAAGGAUGAAGGCUUUCGGGUUGUAAACUUCGGUAGACUGGGAAGAAGAAAUACGUUCGUUGAGGGCAUAUAGUGACGGUACCAGUCUGAAGCCCCGGCUAAUUACGUG